rfam:Canis lupus familiaris chromosome 6, whole genome shotgun sequence.
CGGGGGAGGCCGGAUCCUGGGCUGUGUCCCGGCGCCCUGUGCUCCGGCGCUUGCGCUGUUGAAUUCGCGCUCCCGCCCCGCAGCCCCCU